GAUGAACGCUAGCGACAGGCCUAACACAUGCAAGUCGAGGGGCAGCGCGGGUAGCAAUACCUGGCGGCGACCGGCGCACGGGUGCGUAACACGUAUGCAAUCUGCCUGCUACUUGGGGAUAGCCCUUUGAAAGGAGGAUUAAUACCCAAUAAUACAGGGAUACCGCAUGGUAAUAUUUGUUAAAGAUAUAUUGGUAGCAGAUGAGCAUGCGCAACAUUAGAUAGUUGGAGAGGUAACGGCUCCCCAAGUCUACGAUGUUUAGGGGUUCUGAGAGGAAGGUCCCCCACACUGGAACUGAGACACGGUCCAGACUCCUACGGGAGGCAGCAGUGAGGAAUAUUGGUCAAUGGGCGAGAGCCUGAACCAGCCAAGUCGCGUGAAGGAAGACGGUAUUAUGUAUUGUAAACUUCUUUUUUACAGGAAUAAAGUGCAGGACGUGU
rnacentral:rRNA from 1 species